rnacentral:snRNA from 1 species
UACCAGCACUAAUGCACCGGAUCCCA